rnacentral:miRNA from 9 species
GUUUUUUAACGUAAAAGUUAACUCAAAUUUGUAAAGAGUUGGAACUUUACCUACGUUUGCUGCCAGGGGCGCUGUUCCAACUCCAUACAAAUUUGAGUUAACUUUUACGCUAUCGA